UGGGGAAUAUUGCACAAUGGGGGAAACCCUGAUGCAGCGACGCCGCGUGAACGAAGAAGGUAUUCGUAUCGUAAAGUUCUGUCCUAUGGGAAGAUAAUGACAGUACCAUAGAAGAAAGCUCCGUCUAAAUACGUGCCAGCAGCCGCGGUAAUACGUAUGGAGCGAGCGUUGUCCGGAAUUAUUGGGCGUAAAGGGUACGCAGGCGGUUUAAUAAGUCGAAUGUUAAAGAUCGGGGCUCAACCCCGCAAAGCAUUGGAAACUGAUAAACUUGGGGAGUUGGGAGGAAAGUGGGAUUUCUAGGGGAGUGGGGAAAAUAGUAGGAAAUAGGGAGAAUACCAGUAACGAAGGGGACUUUCAGGACACAAACUGACGAUGAGGUACGAAAGCGUGGGGAGCAAACAGG
rnacentral:rRNA from 1 species